UGGAAUUGCAGGAUUCACUCCCCUCCUGCGACCUAGCCAGGCGUGAGGGAGUGACGGCCGCGCAUUCGCCAGACGAGAGCGAUGGCUGAGAACGCCGCACCAGGUCUGAUCUCAGAGCUGAAGCUGGCCGUGCCCUGGGGCCACAUCGCAGCCAAAGCCUGGGGCUCCCUGCAGGGCCCUCCAGUUCUCUGCCUGCACGGCUGGCUGGACAAUGCCAACUCCUUCGACAGACUCAUCCCUCUUCUCCUGCCAGACUUUUAUUACGUUGCCAUGGAUUUCGGAGGUCAUGGGCUCUCGUCCCAUUACAGCCCAGGUGUCCCAUAUAAUCUCCAGACUUUUGUGAGUGAGAUCCGAAGAGUUGUGGCAGCCUUGAAAUGGAAUCGAUUCUCCAUUCUGGGCCACAGCUUCGGUGGCAUUGUGGGCGCAACGUUUUCCUGUACCUUCCCUGAGAUGGUGGAUAAACUUACCUUGCUGGACACCCUGCUAUUUCCCCUGGAAUCAAAUGAAAUGGAGAACUUGCUGACCUACAAGCGGAGAGCCAUAGAGCACAUGCUGCAGAUAGAGGCCUCCCAGGAGCCCUCGCACGUGUUCAGCCUGAAGCAGCUGCUGCAGAGCCAGAGAACAGCGCUGACUACGUCAGCAGGGAGCUGUGUGCGCAUUCCAUCAGGAAGCUGCAGGCCCACGUCCUAUUCAUCAAAGCAGUCCACGGAUAUUUUGAGUCAAGAGAUAAUUACUCUGAGGAGGAGUCCGUGUCGUUCAUGAUAGACAUGAUGAAAUCCACCCUCAAAGAGGACCUCUUCUGAUACAGUCACAGCAACGCUGGCCUUGGCCCCGCCCUGUCCCUGCCAUGCAACUUCACAACUCAGCUGGCCUAGACCCCUGGGAGUCCUCCAAGUCCCUAGGCGGUUCCAGUUUGUGGAAGUCCCAGGCAAUCACUGUGUCCACAUGUGCGAACCCCAGCACGUGGCCAGUAUCAUCAGCUCCUUCUUACAGCGCACACACACGCUCCCAGCCCAGCUGUAGCUCUGGGCCUGAACUAUGAAGACCUAGUGCUCCCAGACUCAACUCGGGGACUCUGAGUUCCUGAGCCCUACAACAAGGCCAGGGAUGCUGGGGACAGGCCUCACUGGUCUUGAGGCCCAGCCUAGGAUGGUAGUCAGGGGAAGGAGCGAGAUUCCAACUUCAACAUCUGUGGCCUCAAGCGGGAGACAGAGUCUGGGUUCCAGGGCUGCUGUCUCCUGGCUAAUAAUCUCUAGCCAGCUGGAGGAAGGAAGGGUGGGAUGGGCCCACCUAGCCUUUCCCUGCUGCCCCACUGGAUGGAAAAUAAAAGGUUCUUGUAUUCUCA
rnacentral:antisense_RNA from 1 species